rnacentral:lncRNA from 1 species
CAGAGCAACUCCUAUGGAUGUCUGUCAGCAAACUGUCUCUGCUGGUGCUGUAGACCCUGCCUCCUUAGCAGCCUCAGCUAUUAAAGACCUGGAAAAGAAAGCUCUCACCACCAAAGUCUUUAACACAGUCCAAAGAUACAAGAUGACAAAACCAAGGAAAAUGAGAUUCAGGGUCAGAUAUUGAAUUUAAGAAGACGAAUCUUUCUGACUCCAGGUCUGGAGAUCUAUCCAUCAUACCACCUAACUGCCCUAACUUCUCAGUAACCCUACAGACACUUGUGCAUGAAGAUUUAAGUGGAAAAGUCGAUGCACAGAGACAGUCCCACUCUCUCGGCGUUGGAAGCCUGGGUCCAGUGGCACAAAAAACCGUUACACCUGGAGACUUCCUCAGCUGCAUUGGAUGCUCUUGUUGUUCUUUGUGCUCCAACAUGCCCUAAGCACUCCACAGUGCCUUGCUGUGUCGCCCUCUCAGCCGUUGAACCUUCUUGUUGGUUUCUUCCACCUAUUCCACCAAAGCAGUCUUCACAUGCUGGAGACUUCUGGAAGCCUCUGGAUGUCCAGCUGAACCUGAAGUUCCAAAGAAAACCCAACCAGAGAUUUCCAUGAGACAACCCUAACCUGCCAUGCUAAGGUAAGUCAAGAAGAAUAUUCACUUGUGUGUCCCACACUAUAAUAAGCCUCAAAGAACAUUGACUUG